rnacentral:rRNA from 1 species
GACGAACGCUGGCGGCGUGCCUAAUACAUGCAAGUAGAACGCAGUUGCGAACGGGUGAGUAACGCGUAGGUAACUGCCUGGUAGCGGGGGAUAACUAUUGGAAACGAUAGCUAAUACCGCAUACUACCAGAUGGACCUGCGUUGUAUUAGGUGGUUGGUGAGGUAACGGCCCACCAAGGCAACGAUACAUAGCCGACCUGAGAGGGUGAGCGGCCACACUGGGACUGAGACACGGGCCAGAAUCCUACGGGAGGGAGCAGUAGGGAAAUAUCGGCAAUGGGGGGAACCCUGGACGAGCAACGCCGGGUGAGUGAAGAAGGUUGUCGGAUCGUAAAGCUCUGUUGUUAAGGGAGCGGUACUUAACGAGAAAGGGACGGCUAACUACGUGCCAGCCGCCGCGGUAAUUC